GUAUUUCUUACAGGGGAAUAUUGGACCUCACAAUAAAACAUAUAUUUUGUUGAAACUUGGAGCAGAGAAAGUGACAUUAUAAUUGAUAACACAGAAGACAAGAGAACAAUUAAAAUCUCAGCUAACACUAAGCCAGAGAAGAUGUGCAAGCUUCCUACCCAAAAGACUGAUGAUCUCUUCAAGAUGCUUAUAAGCUUGACAAUACUCAGCAUCAGGAAUGAGAGGUUUUAUCUGAAAGUCCUGUGAUCUACUGUUAAUAUAUUCACUGAGAUGACUCAAGAAUGGAACUGUAAUUAAUGCCUGAAUUUUGGCAUGUGACAUAAUUCUACAGAAGAGGAAAAGAAAACCCCUUUCCUCUUCCUCACCUGAAAUAAAAGUAAACAUUACUAAGUCAGUUGAAUUGUAUCAUUAC